AUUGAACGCUGGCGGCAUGCCUUACACAUGCAAGUCGAACGGCAGCACGGACUUCGGUCUGGUGGCGAGUGGCGAACGGGUGAGUAAUGUAUCGGAACGUACCUUUCAGUGGGGGAUAACGUAGCGAAAGUUACGCUAAUACCGCAUAUUCUGUGAGCAGGAAAGCAGGGGAUCGAAAGACCUUGCGCUGAUUGAGCGGCCGAUAUCAGAUUAGCUAGUUGGUGGGGUAAAGGCCUACCAAGGCGACGAUCUGUAGCGGGUCUGAGAGGAUGAUCCGCCACACUGGAACUGAGACACGGUCCAGACUCCUACGGGAGGCAGCAGUGGGGAAUUUUGGACAAUGGGGGCAACCCUGAUCCAGCCAUGCCGCGUGAGUGAAGAAGGCCUUCGGGUUGUAAAGCUCUUUCGGCCGGGAGGAAAUCGCAUAGGCUAAUACCCUGUGUGGAUGACGGUACCGGAAUAAGAAGCACCGGCUAACUACGUG
rnacentral:rRNA from 1 species